AACUUUCAACAACGGAUCUCUUGGUUCUGGCAUCGAUGAAGAACGCAGCGAAAUGCGAUAAGUAAUGUGAAUUGCAGAAUUCAGUGAAUCAUCGAAUCUUUGAACGCAUAUUGCGCCCCUUGGUAUUCCGGGGGGCACACCUGUUCGAGCGCCAUUUAAACCCUCAAGCAAAGCUUGGUGUUGGGUUAGGCCCUAAAAAUGGGACCAACCCGUAACUUGUAGGCGGUCACUCAUCCGCUCCCCCAGCGUAGCAGGCUUAUGGCACUCGCUUUUGGGACUUAUGGUGAUUCUGCUCACUAAAUUUUCAAAAGGUUUGGCCUCGGAUCAGGUGGGGAUACCCGCUGAACUUAAGCAUAUCAAUAAGCGGAGGAAAAGAAACCAACAGGGAUUGCCUCAGUAACGGCGAGUGAAGCGGCAAUUGCUCAAAUUUGAAAUCUGACUUCCUUUGGAGGUUCGAAUUGUAAUUUGUAGAGGAAGCUUCGGUAAAGGUAUAGGUUUAAGUCCCCUGGAACGGGACGUCAUAGAGGGUGAGAACCCCGUCCGACUGAUUACCUGAACCAUGUGUUGCUCCUUCGACGAGUCGAGUUGUUUGGGAAUGCAGCUCAAAAUGGGUGGUAAAUUCCAUCUAAGGCUAAAUAUUGGCCAGAGACCGAUAGCGCACAAGUAGAGUGAUCGAAAGAUGAAAAGCACUUUGAAAAGAGAGUUAAAAAGCACGUGAAAUUGUUGAAAGGGAA
rnacentral:misc_RNA from 1 species